rnacentral:lncRNA from 1 species
UGUGCACCAAAGCACUUAUUUCUCCAUUGCAGGAGUUGUGAAGCAGAACCACAGGAAGGCAGCUCAACCAGGGGGAUCCUGUUGCUUACCUCCAGUACGUGAGGGGGUGGCAAGGACUCUGGCCCCACGGCAAGAAGACCAACCCUACUGAAGAAUUCUCUACAUAUGGACCAUGAUAUGCAGCUAGAAAUCACCAAGCAGAGAUGUUCCAAGUAUCAAUUUUGUGACAGGAGUAUUUAGAAGAGAAGCAUCAUGAUGCUUGCAUCUUACAUUCAAGUGGUUUGACAAAAACAUCGACAUUAAUUCCUUGAGUUUCUUUUCUACAAAAGCACUGGCUAUUAAUUCUGAAACAACUUUCUGUGUAUUCUAAAAAGGCUCAAAUAAAUACGUUGCAGAUAAAUGAAGCCACUUUUCUCACUGUUGAAGAAGAAAAUUACAGAUAUGAAAACAGACAGGGUCUGCUCUGUUGGCCAGGCUGGAGCGCAGUGUCACAAUGUCUACUCACUGCAGGCUCUACCUCCUGGGCUCAAGCGAUUCUCACACCUCAGCCUCAAGAAUGGCUCAGACUACAGGCAUGUACCUCUGUGCCUGGCUAAGAUUUGUAGUUUUUUGGUAGACACAGGGUCUCACUAUGUUGCCCAGGCUGGUCUUGAACUCUAUAGUGUUUGAUCAUAGAAGUGGAGAUACUAACCAAAAAUCUUUUCAAAUUAAGCCUAAUAAACACAGACAUAAUAAUCUGACUAUAUUCAAACAAAUCGAAUAGUUAGUGUGCAGAUCCUCUUUCUAGAAAACCAAGUGCCAUUUUUUAAAAAAUCAAAGACUUAAUGAGCAAUUCUUUUUGUGCAAAGGUUGAUCAAGGGCUCACUGUAUUUUAUAUGGUUGUGUGGGAAAAUGCAUUACUAGUUUAUUAUGGCUUGGGUCCAUUCUCAAGGUGCCUCGUUUUUGUCCUAGAAAUGGAGUUUCUAUAUCAAUCUGCUUCAUAACCUUGGGGAGUCUUGUGAUGAGUACUGGUGGAAAAGCGUUUAGAUGAAGAUAAAUGAAAGCCUUACUAAGCCAAAUUCAUUUUAUUUAGACAUGCAAGUCACAUGGAAAUAAAUGUUAUUUAGGAGUAAUGUAAGUUGUAAAUCUGUUUUUUCCUUAACAUGAAUUGUAUAUGUUUAGAACUGCCUGGUGUAUAGUCUGGGCCAGGGGCCAGUUUUUCUCGGACUAAGGCUAAAUCCUGUAAAUUCA